rnacentral:rRNA from 1 species
CGCACGAGUUCAGACUCGUGGCGAAUAGCUCAGUAACACGUGGCCAAACUACCCUUCGGAACACAAUACCCUCGGGAAACUGAGGCUAAUAGUGUAUACCAUACCACCACUGGAAUGAGUGGUAUGCUAAACGCUCCGGCGCCGAAGGAUGUGGCUGCGGCCGAUUAGGUAGACGGUGGGGUAACGGCCCACCGUGCCAAUAAUCGGUAUGGGUCAUGAGAGUGAGAACCCAGAGACGGAAUCUGAGACAAGAUUCCGGGCCCUACGGGGCGCAGCAGGCGCGAAACCUUUACACUGCACGACAGUGCGAUAGGGGGAUCCCAAGUGCACAGGCAUAGCGCCUGUGCUUUUCGGUACCCUAAGGCGGUACCAGAAUAAGGGCUGGGCAAGACCGGUGCCAGCCGCCGCGGUAAUACCGGCAGCCCAAGUGAUGGCCGAUCUUAUUGGGCCUAAAGCGUCCGUAGCUGGCCGCGCAAGUCCAUCGGGAAAUCCACCUGCUCAACAGGUGGGCGCCCGGUAGAAACUGCGUGGCUUGGGACCGGAAGGCGCGACGG